AGCUGUGUAACCAGCAACAGCCUUUAAGCUGUACAUAGGUGGCCUCCCCCCCCCUUAUCGA
rnacentral:tRNA from 1 species